rnacentral:lncRNA from 1 species
AUGCUCCCCUCUUCCACUUCCGCUCGCGCGCUCCGGCCCGGUCUCUGGGUUCCCCUCACACUCGCUGUCCAGACCCCUCUCGGGGAGGGGAGGCCUCCCCGUCAGACCUGCUGUCCCGAGCCCUCUCGGGAUCCUCUCUCUCAGGACCCCCUGUCCCAAGUGCUCUCUGCGACUCCUAAGCCCUCCGUCCUGGCUCCUCUUGGCGUCCCCCUAUCAGAUCCGCUGUCCCGGCCCCUCUGGGGUCCCCUCCCUUCAGACCCCCUGCCCCAACCCUCUGGGGUCCCCUCCCUCAGACACCCCUGCCCCAACCUUCUGCGGUCCCCUUGCUUCAGACCCCUUGUCCCAGCUCUCUGGGGUCCCCUCUCUUCAGACCCCUUGUCCCAGCUCUCUGGGGUCCCCUCUCUUCAGACCCCCUGUCUCAGCCCUCUGGGGUCCCCUCUCCUCAGAGCGCUGUCCCGAGCCCUCUGGGGUCCCCUCCCUUCAGAGCCCCUGCCCCAACCCUCUGGGGUCCCCUCCCUUCAGACCCCCUGCCCCAACCCUCUGGGGUCCCCCCUCCUCAGAGCGCGUCCCGAGCCCUCUCGGGGUCCCCUCCCUUCAGACCCCCUGCCCCAACCCUCUGGGGUCCCCUCUCCUCAGAGCACUGUCCCAACCCUCUGGGGUCCCCUCCCUUCAGACCCCCUGCCCCAACCCUCUGGGGUCCCCCCUCCUCAGAGCGUCCCGAGCCCUCUCGCGUUUCCCGCUCAGACCCGCUACCUCAGCAGCUCUCGGGGUCUCCUCUCCCCAGUCCGGACAAACCCUCUCCCGAACUCCCGCCACUCGAGUCCUCCCGGACCUCACUCCGCCCAGGGUCCCCUUGCCUCGGCUCACUCUGUCACCGUCCCGCGCCCCAGUGCUCUCACCUCAGACCUGCUGUCACCACCCCCGGGCCCGGCGUCGCCGCCGCCUCCGCCGCUUCCUCUCCCACACUUGUUCCCGAGUCGCUCUUCUGCCGCUGGUCCCCCGGAGGAUGCCCGGGUCGGGUCGUUGAGUGCCGGGUCCGGCCACGCAGAGCCUCCGCCCGCGGUCUCGGGGUCGGGUCCCACUCUUUCAGGCAGGACCCCGCCGCCGUCGCCGCCGGGCGCCACACGGACCCUCCCGCAGCCGCCGCUGCUGCUGUCCGAGGUGCGGCUCCUGCCAGGGGUGGCCAAUCGCACCCGACUGCGCCGAGCGCGCUCCGCCCCACGGUCUCAGUUCGCCCGCCCCCUGCCCCCGACCACGCCCCCAGCUCGGCUCCAAUAG